UAAAUGCCUGCGUUAAGGAUUGAAACGGCAGCUUUUUUUUGCGCUGAACUAAAUUCAGCAUAAAAAAAACUAUAGUGUAAAGCCUGACCUUGG
rnacentral:sRNA from 1 species